GAUGAACGCUAGCGGCAGGCUUAAUACAUGCAAGUCGUACGGGAUCCGAGGUAGCAACACUUUGGUGAGAGUGGCGCACGGGUGCGUAACACGUAUGCAACCUACCUAUAACCGGGACACAACCUCGAGAAAUUGAGGCUAAUAUCCCAUAACACUGCGAGAUGGCAUCAUUUUGCAGUUAAAACUCCGGUGGUUAUAGAUGGGCAUGCGCGACAUUAGCUAGUUGGUGAGGUAACGGCCCACCAAGGCUACGAUGUCUAGGGGUUCUGAGAGGAUUAUCCCCCACACUGGUACUGAGACACGGACCAGACUCCUACGGGAGGCAGCAGUAA
rnacentral:rRNA from 1 species